rnacentral:rRNA from 1 species
UUAAUAUUAGUUAUGAAAGAUAUUUCCUGAAAUUUUAUAUCUAGUUUUUUAAGAGUAAAAGUUUAAUUAAUAAUUUUUAUAAAGAUUAAUAUGGUUUAGCUUAUUAAUUUUAUAUACUGAUAGGAUUUUUUAACCUUAGUAAAUUUGAUAGUGUUUAUUUUAUAAAUUUAUAAUGGAGGGUAAUAUGAAUAAAAAUUUUUAUUUGUUAUUUUUAUAUUAAAAAAUUUAUUUAAAUUUUAGAGAUUUAUUUAUAAUGAAAAAAUUAGUAAAAAAUUAUUUAUAUUAAAAAGUAAUUAAUAAUUUAUAAAUGUUAUAGUUAUUAUAAAAAAUGAAUUCGGCAAAAAGUAUUAUUUGACUGUUUAGCAAAAACAUUGUUUCAUGAAGAAUAUAUGAAAUAAUGUCUGUCCACUGAUAUAUUUGAAGGACUGCAGUAUAUUGACUGUAUAAAAGUAGCAUAAUCAUUAGCUUUUUAAUUUGGGGUUGGUAUGAAGGCGAAACGGAUAAGUUCUUUAUUUUUUAUAAAUGUUUUAAGUUUAUUUUUAAGUGAAAAAUCUUAAUUAGAUGAGAGGGACAAGAAGACCUUAAUAAGUUUUAUUUUUAUUUUAUUUAUGUUAUAGGAAAAUAGAAUUAGAUAAUAUUAAAUUAGAAAUUUGGUUGGGGCGAUUAGUUAUAAAACAUAAUUUAUUUAUAAUUUUU